AUGUCUUUCGAGGGCGCCCUUGAUUAUUGUGCCGAACAGAUUCGUGCAAUUCAUUUACACGAAAGAGUAGAUCCUGUGAAUGUGUUGGACUUUCGUGGUCUCUACUCAGACUUUAGGCCAGAGCAAGUUCUUGAUAGGCAAGACACAAAUGAGGAAGAAUGCUUCCUUGCAGCUAUCGAAGAGGUGGCUGAGGAGGAACAUGCACGUUUUGGAUGGGCCUCUGAAUUUUCUAGUAGCCACAAAGCAUUUAAGGAGUUGAUAAAGAAAGUAAAGAGCUGGAAGAAAAAACGCAGAUUGAUCCCCGUAUUAACUGACAGGUUAGUAGCAGCUAUCUGGUUAUGCUCGCACAUGGCGGACUAUGAAGAGGUUAUACCUGGACUUGGAGAAAAUGACAGUGUGACAGAUAACAGCCUCUAG
rnacentral:rRNA from 1 species